AGAGUUUGAUCAUGGCUCAGAUUGAACGCUGGCGGCAGGCCUAACACAUGCAAGUCGAACGGUAACAGGAAGCAGCUUGCUGCUUUGCUGACGAGUGGCGGACGGGUGAGUAAUGUCUGGGAAACUGCCUGAUGGAGGGGGAUAACUACUGGAAACGGUGGCUAAUACCGCAUAAUGUCGCAAGACCAAAGAGGGGGACCUUCGGGCCUCUUGCCAUCAGAUGUGCCCAGAUGGGAUUAGCUUGUUGGUGAGGUAACGGCUCACCAAGGCGACGAUCCCUAGCUGGUCUGAGAGGAUGACCAGCCACACUGGAACUGAGACACGGUCCAGACUCCUACGGGAGGCAGCAGUGGGGAAUAUUGCACAAUGGGCGCAAGCCUGAUGCAGCCAUGCCGCGUGUAUGAAGAAGGCCUUCGGGUUGUAAAGUACUUUCAGCGGGGAGGAAGGUGUUGUGGUUAAUAACCGCAGCAAUUGACGUUACCCGCAGAAGAAGCACCGGCUAACUCCGUGCCAGCAGCCGCGGUAAUACGGAGGGUGCAAGCGUUAAUCGGAAUUACUGGGCGUAAAGCGCACGCAGGCGGUCUGUCAAGUCGGAUGUGAAAUCCCCGGGCUCAACCUGGGAACUGCAUUCGAAACUGGCAGGCUUGAGUCUUGUAGAGGGGGGUAGAAUUCCAGGUGUAGCGGUGAAAUGCGUAGAGAUCUGGAGGAAUACCGGUGGCGAAGGCGGCCCCCUGGACAAAGACUGACGCUCAGGUGCGAAAGCGUGGGGAGCAAACAGGAUUAGAUACCCUGGUAGUCCACGCCGUAAACGAUGUCUACUUGGAGUUGUGCCCUUGAGGCGUGGCUUCCGGAGCUAACGCGUUAAGUAGACCGCCUGGGGAGUACGGCCGCAAGGUUAAAACUCAAAUGAAUUGACGGGGGCCCGCACAAGCGGUGGAGCAUGUGGUUUAAUUCGAUGCAACGCGAAGAACCUUACCUGGUCUUGACAUCCACGGAAGAAUUCAGAGAUGGAUUUGUGCCUUCGGGAACCGUGAGACAGGUGCUGCAUGGCUGUCGUCAGCUCGUGUUGUGAAAUGUUGGGUUAAGUCCCGCAACGAGCGCAACCCUUAUCCUUUGUUGCCAGCGGUCCGGCCGGGAACUCAAAGGAGACUGCCAGUGAUAAACUGGAGGAAGGUGGGGAUGACGUCAAGUCAUCAUGGCCCUUACGACCAGGGCUACACACGUGCUACAAUGGCGCAUACAAAGAGAAGCGACCUCGCGAGAGCAAGCGGACCUCAUAAAGUGCGUCGUAGUCCGGAUUGGAGUCUGCAACUCGACUCCAUGAAGUCGGAAUCGCUAGUAAUCGUGGAUCAGAAUGCCACGGUGAAUACGUUCCCGGGCCUUGUACACACCGCCCGUCACACCAUGGGAGUGGGUUGCAAAAGAAGUAGGUAGCUUAACCUUCGGGAGGGCGCUUACCACUUUGUGAUUCAUGACUGGGGUGAAGUCGUAACAAGGUAACCGUAGGGGAACCUGCGGUUGGAUCACCU
rnacentral:rRNA from 1 species